rnacentral:lncRNA from 1 species
AACCUAAAAGGGCAUAUUAAUAUAAGAAAUAACACAAUAUUUCAAUACAAAAAUAUAUCAAAGUGUACUAUAGUUUUACAAACUAAAUUGAAAUGUCAUUCACUUCAACCAUUACGAUUACAAGAAACUUCAAAUCUUGCUUGAACUUCAAAUCACUACAAAAACUUGCUUAAACUUCAAAUCACUAGCAUCCAAACUCAAGAUAGGAUCUGCAACAGUUCAUGAAACUCAGCGGAUUUCACUACGAUAUCACCUGGCUGCAAAGAGAAAUACACAAUAAGCGACUUCAUCCAAACUCAAAACAUGGAUGAAUAUAGCAUACUUGAUGAAUUUAGUACUACCAGCCAGUUAAGUUAUAUGGUGGAAUAAGACAUGUUAGUUGACAAGAAUAUAUUACAACAAUAACAACAUAAUACACAGUGAAAUUUCACAAGCGGGUUUGGGAAAGGUAGAAUAUACGCACAAGUAAUGACUUAUCCCCAGUUACGCUUGUCAGGGAGCAAAAGGAAAACAAUUACUAUUGUUUAUGUCCAGCCAAAUAAUACAACUUACAGAGUUAAGAGCCUGCUCAAGAAAUACAUCAGUAGCUACCUUUUUGUGUAACUCAAACCAAUUGGGUCUGCGAUGGCCACAAGCCACUACUCCCCUGUACUAAUUUUACUUUUUAAUGAAAUGCUUCAUAUUUCCUUACCAAAAAAAAAGUAACAACAAAUGGGUCCUAGUUAGAUAAAGUCUAAAGAUUAAUUCAUUGGGAAAAGAAAUUAAUUAGUAAUAUCUAUAUGGCUAGAUCUCACAUUAGUUGUACACUGAAAUGUACCUCUAAUCCUUAAUUCUUUGAAGUAUCAAAGUUCCAGAGAAAAAGAUUUUACUUACCAAUGCCAACCACCUUGCUAUGCCUAUAUAACAUAAUUAUAGGUGCAGUAAGUUCUCAAGACAAUGUAAAAUAUUCAUUAAACAACACCAACAACUAUAUAAAAGCUAUAACUUGAAAUGUAAAAGUCCAACUAGUGAAUUAGAAAAUACCAGUUACUAUUCAGAUGAUCAAUUAUAAUUUUUUGAAAAGGCACAAUUACUAAAAAUAAUGUGACCUCUCAAAACUGAACAUGAGUCUAAUGAUGCUUAGGAUUGGGUCUGUUGGGAGAAAUUGAAUUUUGCUUGCAAAAAGAGUCCACUGGCCAUCCAAGAUGUAAUCUUGGCAAUAAUCUUGUCCACUAAGGGUUUAAUUGGACUAUUGUAAGCCUUUUAGGUGUCGUUUAAUACAAAGAUUAAUAAUGUAGGGAUUAGUAAUGCAAGGUUCCUUAGUAAAAUUGUUUGGCACACCUAGAUAUUUGAAACAGAGUUCUCCAACCUCAUAUCCAAGCAUAGUCAAGAUGGUUUCCUUAGUAAAUUUGUUAAUACCUUCAAAACAUACCUGACUUUUCAAAAUGAUGGUCUUCAAAUCAGAAGCAUCAGAAAACAUAUUGAAUUUACCCCUCGAUAGUUGUAGUUGUAUAGAUCUGACAUCUCAUCUAGUAAAUAUAGUAAGUCAACAGCAACAAAGUACUGAUUCAAAACUGAUGUCAACAUCUAGAUGGAAAAAAAUGUUUCAUCAAACUUUCUUAGUUGUAAAUCAGCACAACUACAAAGAAAAAAGACAUUCUUGCAACUCUUCCAAAUCUGUUUGGGUUAAAGGAAUUUUGCAUUUAACUAUCAUUCCAUCUUCACUAACUAUCUAAAGGACAAAAUCAAAUAAAAAAAUACAAUAAACUCACAAGAUUUGUAGAGCGUCGCAGAACUUGAGCGAGUUGUGCAUGACUGCUUAUAAGAGCUUUUAUCUUCUUCAACAAUGCAGCCACAAAUAUUGACACUAUAGCACGAAAAAAUAGUGCAAACUGUCUUAAAGAAAGAUCUCAUCAGAAAAAUGAGAACCAAAUUUAAAAAGAAUAGCUGAAAAGUAGAUGAAACUUACGGAAAUAGCUGGGAAUAUAGACGAAAUCAGGUUCAGUAAUGUGGGAGGAGAUAGUGGUGGGAGUGACGUCUUUGGGAUCGGUGGCAAAAGGGAUGGUUGGGUUUGGGGACAAUUCCAGUUGUUGGGGAUGAUCGUAACAUGUAUACUCAAUAUACUCGAUAUGGUUAGUCAAUCGAUAAAGUGAAACAACCUUAUGGUGCUACUUCUAAUCCUACACAGGCUGAUGACGCGACAAGAAAGAACAGUUCAUCAUCAAACAAGUUGAAAACACCACAUUUCUCCAAUAUCACCACCUUAUAACAUAGAAACAAAUAUCAUAUCUCUCAAAUUUACCAGAUUCACUUACAACUAACAAAAAUCAAUUAAGAAGUUAAUCUAUCCAACCAAAAAAUCAAUUACUAGCAAGUUAUUCUCUAUGUAAACCUUAUUUAAUUAGAUUAUCCAUAUUGAAACCCUAAAGAAUCGAAGUUUAGGGGAAAUCCAAAAAGUACAAUAGUUAUAAACCUUAGAAAGAGCUGAAGCUUCUCCAUGGUGCAGGACGUAGGGCAACGAGCCUAUUGGAGCAUUCUUUUACUCCAAAAUCGGCGAAGAUAUUGCAGAUUUUCUGAAACUAAAAUAGAUUCAAAAUACAAAUCUCAAAACUUUUUACAAACAAUUUGAAGUUGAGAAAAAAAAAAUCAGUUGAUUUAUAGAUUGAAAAUGCAUGAAAAUGAGGAAAAGAGAACUCAUUUUUGAAGCUUUCGAUGUCUAAAUUAAGGAGCAAUUGUUAAAUAGAGAGAAAUUGGGAAGUAAGAGAGGAGAAGAGAAGUAUGAACCAACGAUACCGCCAAUCGCCACCGCCGCCUCCAUCUUUUCCUACUCCGACCACUGUUAUUGUGGAUGAAGACAGUGAUAGCUCCGCCACCAUGGAUUCGCCACCGUGCCGCCUCCAUCACUUCCUACUCCAACCCUAAUUAUCAUAUGAAAAUUGAUCAGUUCGGGAUCGCAGAAAAUAGAAUGAAACUUUUUUUUAUUUGGGGAUUAAAUGAGCAACGAUAUAAAAUUUUAUUUUUUAGGAUAGCGGCGGGUAAUAACCCCACAAAUUCUACUAAAAUUAUAGGGGUUAAUCAAAC